GUCUCUAGGACCUUGAGGAGUUUUUAUUCCUCUAUACGCUCUCAAACUAAGAGCACCUGCUUUUCCACCAUGUGCUGGAUGAAUCUGUACCUGGAAAUAACCGAAACUUGACAAAUUAUGACCAGUGAGUUUUGGAGGACAGUCUCCUUUAUGCAGGUAUGAGGACAAAAUAAAAAUGAUAAAACAAGGAUAUCCAGAACAGACUUAGUAUGUAUACAAACCAAACCAAGGAAGAACAUUCGCUUAGACGGAGAAGUGGAAGUAUCGACGGAAUGCGACCAUCUUUCACUGUAGAUGAAAACCAGGAAGCCGAUAUUGGUACCAUCAGGAAGAAGAAUCAGGAUGAGCUUCUGGCACCUGCAAAAUAUUACUUCAAACCUGUAGGUCUGCUAUUGUUGGCUAUGAUUGGUGCCCUUAUUGGAUCGAUGGUUGGAUCGAGUUAUGGAGUGGUGGGCUCUGGAUCUGGGAUCGUCAUUGGGAUCAUAGUAACAAUUCCACUGGGUCUUUGCUUGAUUACAGCUGCAAGCCUCACACGCCAGAGUUCUGAACAGACUAAUUAGACCCUAAAACUGUGAGCUACACAAUAGCUUGCAAAUAUUUAUACCAUUGGGACAAAAUGAAAAAAAUAUACCACAAAAAAUAUUACAUCAGUGUUGCAUCACUGAGAAGUGACCCAACAUGAAGGAUGGUACUUGUUGUUGCUGUAGCUGAGCUGGUCAAACUAGUAGAUCAUCUUUUCUAGCUUAUGAGUUUUUUUUAAUUAAUACUACAUUGAUGCAAGACCAUUUCAAUAAAAUAGCAGCAAGGUGAUUUAAAAAUCUCAAAAUAAGUUUGUUGAGUAAUACCAAAGCUAGAAAAUAACAUAGCAGUUUUGAUUCUGAUGAUGGUCUACCAGUUUCACCAGCGUGGUCUGUGAUGGUUGGUGUAAUUGAUUAGACUGAACUGGGUUUUUUUCAGUGCAACUGAUAAACAAAUAAUUUAAACCAAAAACAACAACAACAACAACAAAGCAUAAAAGAUUUACAGCUUCAUAAAUUAAGUUUAAAUGUUUCCUGUUUACAUGUUUGAUGAAAUAACAAAUUCUUUAUUAGGCACUGAUGAGAAGCUGCACUGACUGAAGCUAAUACUUUUGAUGUGUUUAAUAUUCAUCUGCAUAAAGGUUUCUUGUUACCUGUAGGUACAUAUUAUGUAACAACAUUUAUUUGUGUAUUAAUGUGAACAAUAGUAACUAGAUUUGUAAAGUUCAUCACGGCAAACUUUGAGGUUGGCUGGAUGAUGCAAAUAUUCGCAAAGGCUGUUUUUUUUUUUGGAGGUGAGCGGACAUAAGGGUCUGUGUUACUUUUUUUAGGCAAGAUGUAAAUAAUAAAAUAAUGUAAGUAAUAUUAUUUCAAUUAUCUGACCUGAAAGAGUUAUUUUUUUUAUUAAAAAAUGCACAAGUAAUAAAUGUUUUGAGUUUUACUAAAUUUAGUUUCUAGUAUGAGUUUAAGUGCCACAUUUCCUCAUUAGUUAAUGCAGGAUGUUGAUAGUUUUGUGUUUACUAUUAUCUAUAUAAUAAUAUAAUAAUAUUCUUUGUGUAUUAAUGUGAACAACAGUGUCUGUUUGUGUGUUUUACUAAGAGUUAAAGCGCAAUGCAUAUAAGUAGCAAUCCAUAAAAAAUGGUAGCAAAGGACUCAAUU